AUACGGAGGGUCCAAGCGUUAUCCGGAAUCAUUGGGUUUAAAGGGUCCGUAGGCGGGCAAUUAAGUCAGAGGUGAAAGCCCACGGCUCAACUGUGGAACUGCCUUUGAUACUGGUUGCCUUGAAUUAUCGUGAAGUAGAUAGAAUGUGUAGUGUAGCGGUGAAAUGCAUAGAUAUUACACAGAAUACCGAUUGCGAAGGCAGUCUGCUAACUAUAUAUUGACGCUGAUGGACGAAAGCGUGGGGAGCGAACAGAAUUAGAUACCCUAGUAGUCC
rnacentral:rRNA from 1 species